AGAUGCGCCCCAAAUCCCUAGCCGCCGCCGCCGCCGCCGCGUCGGGCUGCGCGCUGAAUCCCUCGCCGCCGGCUCCGCCUCCUCCAAUCUCUCGCAUGUCCCCUCUGCCAUGUUUGUAGGGUCGUCGACCAUGGAACGACCCCUUCCGGAAUAUCGCCGUCAACCUCCCUACUGCCUCCGCGGGGAGGGUCUCCGUCAAUGUCGCUGCCACUGCCGUCACUCGACCGCCGUAGCAUCCUUCUUUGAGUACCACCCCGUUCCAUCCAGGGAACUCUUUCCUGAAGCGCAUUGCUUUGGUUCGCUCUGUCCAGAAUAAUGCACUGAAAAUGAAAAUAAUGCAGGGAACGCGUCAUGAAAUAGCAGUUGCGUUGCAAGUACAAUUCACAUCAUCAGUGCAACAGAGAGGUUAAAGAUGAGGUUGAGGUUAUCACUUGGCGUCAAGAAAUUGUAUAAUAUUCCUCCAAAUGAAGUGCUCAUGAUUAGGAGCAAAAUUCAAGAUCCGGGAUCCACGUGAGAUGCAAGAGCCUUUGCUCUAUUCAAGGAUUUAGGAAGCAUUGACCAGCUGCAUGGCAAGUACAACGAGCAUUAUCAGUACAACAAGGAGAUUCAAUCAAGGCAAGAAAUUCUACCAUAUUGUUCUGAAUGAAGAGGGUAACCUUGAAGAGCAGCUUGCAACUUAAGCUGCAGCAAGGCAUUAUAGAAAAUGAGGUCUCAUGUUGGACCUCUGUUUUUGUUAGCCUUUGAUUCAUGUAAAUUCUAUGGAAUUGUAUAUGUGAAUUAUGGUUGACGUAAACUAUUGAAA